rnacentral:lncRNA from 1 species
GUUAUGAUUUAAUUGCGUGCGUAGGCGGCAUUGUGGGAAUGAGGGCGGGACGCGCGGUUUUUUCCAUUGCUGUGUUGGAUUUUUGGAAGGUGUUUAUUUUUGUAGGUUUUUUGUUUGGAGGCAGUUGGUUUUUGUUUGGAGAUGGUUUGCUUUUGUUCAGAGGUGGGGCGUUCGGAUAUUAUCUUUUAAGACAAAUGAAGCUGUGAAUCAGCUGCUGUGAAUUCAGCAAACAAAUAGAUUAGUUUGUGUUUAUAGUAUGAUAUAAUUAGACAUGUUUUUAAAUUUUUUGUGUUACUGCUUUUUAGGUUGCAUGUUGACUGCAACAGACUACUAACACAGGUGUGGGAUGCCACAGCUGACACUGCUCUAAAGGUAAUAGACACAUUUUUUAUAUACCAUUUAUCCUUUGACAAUUUUAUAAAAACUGGUAUUAUGAUAUAUAAAACAUUGCAGUUUUAACUUUUAACAGUAUAAUUUAUGUACAUCUUAAUAUCUAUAAUUUCGGUUGUAGAAGGUGUUUUUUUAUUGGUUAUUUCAAUAUUCCUCUUUCUUGCUGUUCCCCCAAAAUGUGAAACCUAGGAUAAGUAUUAGCUCACUUGUCACAUCGUCCCCUCAACGCAACGGUUGUAUCUUAUUAUAAAUUUAUAAUAAGAUCCAACUUUGUUGCGUUGAGGUGACGACAUAAUGACAAGGUGAGCUUUUGUGAUCACCCUUUGUCCGAGGUCCUUUGGAUAGGGAACUCUGCAAUUGCAGAGCCAUUCUUAGGUGUCCAUUUCUCUUUCAGCUAGAUAGGGAACUAAAUUUUGUAGAUAGGGAAGAUCUCUCAAGUAUAAGGUUAUGUAAGUAUGCAGGCGGAUAAUGCGUCUGCUUUGGAAAGGCAUUUGAAGCCUGUAACUAUGUAGCCGGAUAAUGCGUCUCCUAGGAAAAGGCAUUUGAAGCAUGUAACUGUGCAGCCGGAUAAUGCCUCUCUUAUUGAAAGGCAUUUGAAGACUGUACAGCCGGAUAAUGCCUCUCCUAUGGAAGGCAUUUGAAGCCUUAAGUAUGCAGCCGGAUAAUGCCUCUCCUAUGGAAAGCCAUUCGAAGUCUGCUAAAAAAUAAUAUAACUGGUCUUUAGAAUCAAAUGGGUGGUAUCAAGAACAGUAAGUAAUUGCAAGUUGUGAAAGAGGAUCAGGACAUUACAUCGGCCAGGCUCACAUUUUGGGGGACUGUGAAAAUUGUUUAAGCUAAAUCUCUUAAGCUACUGAGUGUUAUAAAUUCUUUUUCUGAAUAAAAAUUGAGUUGUCUUUUGCAACCGGAAUUACAGAGAUAAUGUUUUUAUUGCAAUAUUUUUAUGUUUGUGUCGUAUAGAUUUUUUUUCUAUUUUCAGAGUGAUCUGCAGUUGGGAGAGCUGAUCGUUUGUUUUCAGUUUUGUACAUAUUUUAAUGUUAUGACAUGUUUUAAAAUCUGAAUAAAAUGAAUAAAUACCAUUUUCUAUAUACGUUAUGAUUUAAUUGCGUGCGUAGGCGGCAUUGUGGGAAUGAGGGCGGGACGCGCGGUUUUUUUCCAUUGCUGUGUUGGAUUUUUGGAAGGUGUUUAUUUUUGUAGGUUUUUUGUUUGGAGGCAGUUGGUUUUUGUUUGGAGAUGGUUUGCUUUUGUUCAGAGGUGGGGCGUUCUGAUGAUUUCUUUUAAGACAAAGGAAGCUGUGAAUCAGCUGCUGUGAAUUCAGCAAACAAAUAGUUUAGUUUGUGUUUUAAGUAUGAUAUAAUUAGACAUGUUUGUAAAUUUUACCAUGUUUUUGUGUUACUGCUUUUUAGGUUGCAUGUUGACUGCAACAGACUACUAACACAGGUGUUGGAUGCCACAGCUGACACUGUUCAAAAGGUAAUAGACACAUUUUUUUUACAUACCAUUAAAUUUGUUUAAGCUAAAUCGUUUAAGCUACUGAGUUAAAUUCUUUUUCUGAAUGAAAAUUGAUUUCUUUUGCAACCGGAAUUACAGAGAUAAUGUUUUUAUUGCAAUAUUUUUAUGUUUGUGUCGUAUAGAUUUUUUUUCUAUUUUCAGAGUGAUCUGCAGUUGGGAGAGCUGAUCGUUUGUUUUCAGUUUUGUACAUAUUUUAAUGUUAUGACAUGUUUUAAAAUCUGAAUAAAAUGAAUAAAUACCAUUUUUUAUAUACGUUAUGAUUUAAUUGCGUGCGUAGGCGGCAUUGUGGGAAUGAGGGCGGGACGCGCGUUUUUUUUCCAUUGCUGUGUUGGAUUUUUGGAAGGUGUUUAUUUUUGUAGGUUUUUUGUUUGGAGGCAGUUGGUUUUUGUUUGGAGAUGGUUUGCUUUUGUUCAGGGGUGAGGCAUUCGGAUGAUUUCUUUUAAGACAAAGGAAGCUGUGAAUCAGCUGCUGUGAAUCCAGCAAACAAAUAGAUUAGUUUGUGUUUUAAGUAAGAUAUAAUUAGACAUGUUUGUAAAUUUUACCAUGUUUUUGUGUUACUGCUUUUUAGGUUGCAUGUUGACUGCAACAGACUACUAACACAGGUGUGGGAUGCCACAGCUGACACUGCUCUAAAGGUUGCAUGUUGACUGCAACAGACUACUAACACAGGUGUUGGAUGCCACAGCUGACACUGCUCUAAAGGUUGCAUGUUAACUGCAACAGACUACUAACACUGGUGUUGGAUGCCACAGCUAACACUGCUGUAAUGGUAAUAGACACUUACUUUUUACACAGAAAGCUUCAAGUUUGGAAAGCUGAUGGUUGGUAUUUGUGUGUUUUCGCUUUUAUGUAUUAAAUGUUUUAAUUCCUGUUUUAAAAUAUGAAUACAUCAAUAUUUCAUCUUUGUGUUUUUAUGUUUGUUUUAUGUAUGCUGCGAUAGUCUUUAUUUUUAUCUUUUUACACAGAAAGCUUGGUGCUAUCUACCUUCCAGAUUAUGUUUACAUUAGCAAGCUGAUGGUUUGUGUGUGUCUUCUUUUUUUACAGGUAUGUAUAAUGUAAUAUUUUAACGUACGUUUUAUAAUAUGAAAAGAAUGUAAAGAUAGCAUUUUUUUGGUGUUUUUUUUUUUAUUUUUGUUUUAUGUAUGCUGUUGUAUAACUUUUUUGUCAUUUUUUACGUAGAAAGCUUGAAAUGGGCAUGCAUAUGAUCAGUAUUUGUGUACUUGCUGUCUUACUAGUAUGUAUAUUUUGAUGUUUUUUUUGUUUUUUUUUUUUAUAAAUAUACAUAGAUGUAUAAAAACCAUAUAUAUAUUUUAAUUUUUAAUUGUUUUUUGCUUUUUCUGUGAUAUAUUUGUGUGCGUAGGUUGCAUUGUGUGAACGAGGGCAGGACGCGCAUUUUUUUGGUUUGCUGUGGUUUAGGUCUGUAUAAUUCAGGUUUUAGGGCAAGUAUG